rnacentral:lncRNA from 1 species
GGGCAUUUUCUGCACCCAUGGGCUACCUAUGUAUAUUGUCAUUUUAUUUACAUAGUCAAAGAGUUUCCCUUCCAGAAAAAUUUAAAAUACUUCUUUCUUUUCUCAGGACCUACGCUCAGCAUGUCAGACCUCAAGGAUGAUGAAUCAUCAAAUUAUGAACCGGAAUCCUGCAGAGAGGCCGAGUUUUCCGAUUGGCUCAGCGCUCUUCAAAGGGAAGAGUUUUCUAGUUCAAGGCGUUGAAGCUGUCACAAAUGGGACAUAUUGGGCAUUCGGAAUCAUCAUACUUGGUUACUUAUUCUAUCUGAUAUUCGUGAGACAGAUCGUUGCUAAUUUAUCCGACACAAAGAAUCCUUUCAAGAGGCUAGAAACAGCACUAGAAUAUCCAGAUGUAUCUGCCGAUAAUGCAAACAGCACAACAUCUUUUUUCACACACGAUUAUGAGGCUACAACACCGUUCACCGUUCCCUAUGUUCCGUCUUUCACGCUCAGCGCGGAGGAUGCGAAGCUCAUGCGACCCUCUUUACGGCAAGUGUGGUCGUUCGCCCGCGAGCCAAAGAGAGGGCCGAGCGCUCUGGAGAUCCUCAAAGCGGAGAUCCAGGAGUCGCGGAGACUGCGACACCAACUGGAGAGCAACCUCGAGAAGAUCCUGCAGGAGAACGAAGGACUCGCCACGGACAGGUCUGAUUGGGCCGAUCACCUCCUCCAAUUCAAAGUCAACAGGACAACGCUCGCGGAGAGGCUCACCGCCAGCAAAAACAGGCUGACGGCAUCAUCCGUCGUAGACCACAAAUUUUGGAGCACCGACUCGCCGCAUCCAAAACCGAAAUCCAGGAGUUGCAACUACAAAUUGACGAGCUGAAAAGCGAAAAGCAGUCGGCCAUCGAGAUGGUCAGCAAGAUCCUUUUCCGGCCGGAAUCUCCCGGCCAUCGCCUCAUGCUCGGCCAGCACGGGUACCACCCUUCCGGAAAUUACCGCAACUUCGCCGACGAUGACUUCCGCAACUCCCAUCCCGGUGCAGGUGCGCCCAAGUCCUCCAUCUACUUGGGCUCAACAUCAUGCGUCAACUUCACAAUUUCCAACAUCACCGAGCCCCCGCCCGAGAAUGCUCUGGUCAGUUCUGUAGGAGCUCUAACGUUCCGGAAAACGGUAUGUCUCCGGAUCCGCCUCGGAAUAUCGAUCCGGAUGGAGUGAUUGGUCCGAAUCAUACUUGGAGACCCCAUCCGAAUCUACUCCGGAAGAACUCGGAUGGUCCCGAAAUCUGCGUCUCUCCGGAUCCGCUCCGGAAUAUCCACCCGGCCCGGCGUGCAUCCCGGAUUGCUCGAAUAAAUACCGUGUGAACUUGAAAGUUGCAGAAAGCGGUAUUUCUUUGGAUCCGCUCUUGAAUGAUGCUGCUUGUCGUCCGGAUCCUGUCGGUAGCUGUUCUAGUGCGGAGGCAGCUUGGAUAUGGAAUCACCAGACCGCAGAUUUACACCGGAAUAACUUAAUACCUGAAAAUAAUCCGGAUUCGUACCGGAGCGUUGAAAAUAUAAAUAAUGUUACCGUAAACUCUUCCGGGAACUCAAUAGAAGCUGGAGGAGCUGAUACGGCGCGGAAACAGCUAUUGAGUAUAGUGGAUCCAUCAAUGUCGUUUGGGGUUGAGAGCAGUGCCUUGGGCUCAAGUUUUUGUGCAGAGUUCUGCUGCAGUGAGAGCGUCGUCACACAUUGUUCGAGCUCUGAGGAGCCUGAUCGUCCGACUGGAGAGGGAUCUGUCCAAGGUACGCUUUUAUUCCUACAUGGGUCAGUGGGCUAAUUUUUUUUUUUUUUUUUUUUAUUAGAUACAUAGGGGUCUACAGAAUAUAUACGUAUCAACCCUAUUAAUCCUAACUUAAGGGCUAAUAAUUGAAAUGAAGUUGUUGCAUGUGUGAGGAAUUUGCGAUUUGACUAUUGAUUCUUUUGUAAAAGUUCGCGAGAAACACGAUGGUGCCUCUGUUUUCCUCUGAAAUGAACUCCCAGCUCAAAAAAAGCUCUCAAGUUGAGGUCAAAAUGGACGGGAUAUCCCACGCUAUCCCGAAAGUCCACCUCUACAUCAAGACAAACUCUCCGUGCGAAGAUAGGGAGCAAUACAUUAGCAGGGUUGCCAUGUUUUCAGUUUUAGAUUCCCCAAAUUAAGUGGCAGCCCUUUCAAUGUAUUUGCUCCCUAUCUUCGCAUGGAGAGUUUGUCUUGAUGUGGAGGUGGACUUUAGGAUAGUGUGGGAUAUCCCCUCCAUUUUGGCCUCAACUUGAGAGCUUUUUUUCGAGCUUGGGAGUGGAUUUCAGAGAAAACCAGCGGUACCAUCGUGUCUCUUGCGAACUUUUACGGAGGAAUCAAUAGUCAAAUCGCAAAUUCCUCACACAUGCAACAUCUUCAUUGAUAGACCAAGUUAUAAACAAAGAAUACAGAGAGAAAAUGGAGUGAUCUAUAGUGGCGUGGCGUGAAUUGCGAUGUAUCGAUUGUUAUGCCAUUUAAACCAAUGGUAAAGAAUCGAUUAUUAAGAUGUUCGCCGCGAACACCCUGUUUAUCGAUCCUUUUCCAUAGGUUUAAAUGGCAUAACAAUCGAUAUAUCGCAAAGCAUGCCACGCCACUGGAGUGAUCCUUUUAGUGGAAGUGGGCGAUUGCAAGGGACAAAAGAGAUGACUAAUAGACCAACUAACGGCAACCCACGAAGGACCCUAUGGUUAGUUCAUUCAUUCCCAUUGGUUUAUGAACACCACCCGCUUCGCCCAAUAGGAUCGCUCCAUUUUCCUUGUGUCUUUCUUUGUGUGUUCUGUAUGUGGAGUCAUGAAUAUCGAAGCACAAAAUAUCUCGUCAGUAUCAAGUUAUGUCUCAGUCGUAGUAUACGUUUCAUAAUGGGGGAACAAAGAAAAAGGAAGUGCAUUUUUAAAAUCCAUUAUAUUACAUGAAUUUAAAUAGCGGACAGUGUUGCCAACUUGCAAGAAUCGCCAUUGUCUCCUCGAGAGUAUUGGUCCAAAAACACCACUGAGUCGAAAUAAGUUUCGAUGAAUAUCGAAAGAUCGUCUGAUUUCAACUUUAUUUUUAAUUUCUUGAUAACUCGAUUGAUUUCCAGUUGAUGUACGAGAAACAAAAGCAGACACUCAACUUGAAAACCACCCUCGGGAGCAAGAGGGAAAUGAUCCAUCCUCAGAAGUCAUUGGGGACGGUGUGCCCGCUGAAAGACCCCGUACUUUCUCCGGUCCUGUCACAGGAUCUCCUCUGUUUCAGCAAUUUCUCACGAGCUACGUCAAGAAUGCUACACCAGAAUAAAACAUGGCCGGCCCUGUUACCUUCAUGCCAUUUCUAUUGGCAAUGUUUCAACAUCCGCCACCUAUUCACAGGUUCUCUAAUCACUGUGUAGUAAAAAACUAAGCCAAAGUUGAUUGUUUUUAUUUUAUUGUUUUUUUCCCCUGCAUGUUAUCACUAACUUAUAUGAUCUAUUCCGGGAAGCAGCAAAAAGCAGGGAUCACUUCAGAGACUUUAACGCAAGGGAAGAAAGUAGGCACGUCGACAAACGUGAGUUGCUUGACGCAUGGAGACAC